AUGAAAAAUACAUGCUUUCUUAUCCUGCGGAACAGUGGGAAAACCUGCUUGAAGAAAAGAAAUGGCAAGAUCAUGACCUGGUUACCGGACUGGAACUGAGUGCUCCGUGGAACUGAGGCCUCUCUUCCUCUUGCACUUCUGCAGGAUAGGAAGGGGAUGCUUUGAGUUGGCUUGGCCUGUGUCUCCUUCCUUGUUUGAUUGACAUGGGCGGGCCAUCCUGUUAUAUGUCCCACCUCUGUUUGCUUCCUGUCUUUGGACCAUUCAGUGAUUCUCAAGUUGGGCUGCAUGUGAGCAUCAUUUGGGAUUUUUCUUUAAAUUUCAAAGCCUAGGUUUCACCCCAGUGCAAUUAAAUCAGACUCCCUAGGGUGGAGCUCUGGCAGUAGCCUUUAAAAAACCCGCAGAAAAGAUUUGGUGAUUCCAGUCCACAGCCAAGAUUGCGGAACCACUGGUCUAUGUCGGUUCCCUUCCUUAUUGAUGCUAUGUGUUCUGGCAAAGUUGGGUGUAAUGUGAAUUUUGGGGAAAGAAUUUCUUGCACUUUGUUGUGAUUAAACUCAGAACAAAUAACUAUAAAAAGUAUUAGCCACUAAACUGAGUUGACAGUCUUUGGUAAAUUAAGCAGUUAAAGUUGGUGACAUUCUAAACAUUUUUGUUGCACUUUGAAAACGUGGGUGUAUAUCCUAUAUACUGGGUUCUAUUUGUUGUCCUCUAUCUCUUCUUUCUCUUCUACCACAGAGUCAUCUCCUAGAUAAGUAUCUCCUGACACUCACUUACAGCCCUCUCUAUUUAGCUUUUCUCUCCUUUUAUUUAUGGUUGGCACAGAAUAAAGUCACAAU
rnacentral:lncRNA from 1 species